rnacentral:lncRNA from 1 species
GCACGUCAGCUUCCAUUUUCAUCCAUGGCGUGAAAGAGGUAGGACAUCAUCUCCACGCGAUCGCGAUUCGCACUGAAGGAAAAUGAUUAUUUUUCUUUUUAUUUCAAGCCGUAGCACCUCCACAUGGGCGCAGGCUAGCUACGUUAACUCGUAGCGGUCGCUAUGCCACUUCUCCGGCAAGAUUUGCAACACAGUGAACCUUGAAGAGCACGAGUAACAGUUUGGCAAUGCAGUCUCUGGUGCAUAAAGCAGCUAAUGCCAGUGAUGCUGUAGUACAGGUUAAUCCACAAGGGAUCAGUACCGCAUCCAGCAUCGAUCCACACUACCCUGCUCUACUAUGUAAUCUCAACUGAGGAGAAUUACAAGUUUUGACGUCUUCCUCUAGUAUCCCGGUCCUAGUUUGCAGUCUUGGGCGCAGCGAGGAUGUUUGGAAGGUUUCAUCCUUUUCAGUGACAACCUAAGUCAAGGGAACUUGUUAAGUAGAUAAAACCAAUUGCUACUAAAAUGGUUGACCAGAGGCUUUAGAGCAGGCACAUUGGACAGUUCAUGAUGUCAGCCAUAAUGACAGUUAUCUGGACCUUCAGCCAUAAGUUGCUGUGGACACGCAAACACUAAGUAAUGCAGUGUCAAGUUCUGUCACUUUGCGUGAAUGAAAAAGUGAGCUUUUAUUAACUUGCCUGCUUAUGCUUAGCUUUAUGGACUGGAUCAGUGUUUCUAAAUGACACAGGCUCAAUUAUUAACAUUCUAGAUGCCCUUUAAAGGGUGGUCUGUUACUGCAAGGACUUGCUUAAAAGCAUCACUUGACGACUUGAUAUAUUUUAUUAUGCUGAAUUUUUUCCUUGUGCAUGUGACAUUUGUUAUUAGUGUUUAACAUGCAAGGAUGCCAGAUGAGCCUUUUUCAUUAGGUUGCGUUGAACAAAAUUUCAGUGUGUUCCGUUAAACAACCUAUGUUGUCACAAAAUACCUUUGUUGUAACCUGUUUGUAGACUGCCAAUUGUUCUUAACCAUUGCAUAUUAGGGACAGACACGCCCCCCCCCCCAAAAAAAAAAAAGUAUCUGUGAGUUAACACAUAUUUUUAACAUAACUAAUUAAAUAUUGUUUACUUUUAGUUAAGUCAACAUGGUUGUGUUGACCAGGCUGCAAACAGAUUUACAGUAAUUGAAAAAUGGUGUUUGUUAAUCUCUAUGCUACACAAUUAUAGGCUUAGAUAACAAGUGGCUCAAUCUGACACUCUGCUCAUCUUUCUUAGUCAGCAGUGUCAGAUAAUUGUGUGCAUAGCAACAUAGCUCUUUCAUUAAAGAAAUAAAUUCAAAAAACCUGUAUUGAAAGCACAAACUGCAUAAUCAACUAAACCUUCCCUUCUCAAGCCCAUGAAAGCAGUCUUGGGGCAUCUGGACCAUAUCAUUGAAUUUAAACAUUCAUUAUUAUUCUGUGUACCCAGAGGACGCAUCCUUCUAAGCAGGCUAGACACACUCUCAUUGUUUGCCAAUGCCCUUUGGCUAAAUCCACAUAGCUGCUCUUUUUUGGGCACUGAUGAUGUUGGGGUUGAUUGUCUGCCACAAACCUGAUCAGAUUGCAUUCCUCAUUUUCAGUAUUAGGGGUUUUUCUCUAGACUUACUUGUCUCUUAAAAAAAUUUAUCACAUUUUUGAUUACUAUCGUUGGGACUCGUUUUUCUAUUGUUUAAGUGCGUUCGGAAAAGGGCAUGGUGAUGUGGGUUCACAAUCUUCAUUAGCUUCACCCUCACUUUCUUUCGUUUUUGAGACGAUGAUUUGAACCGUGCUGUCCACGACAUCUACAAUGUCAGAAACUACUCUUACCCAAUUUUGUAUCUGUUCUUUGCCCAAAUUUGAAGGGGUCCCCAUUGACAAAAAUUGAACUUUUAAUGCAUAUUGUUCAUAAUUUUUUGCAAUAGCAAAAGCCCUGGACUUGCAAUCUUCCAGGGCAGGAAGAUUUAGUGCGUUUCUCAAACCUGGCGAUGAAGCUUGGUUUCACUGAAAAAUCACUAAGGUUAUUCCACCAUUCAUUUAGAAAAUCAUCUGGAGAUGCAGGAAUAUCCUCAGGCUCCUUUUUUCCAAUCAAACCAGUGGCAUGUUCUAUCUGUCAGAUUGAAGCCAUAAAGUUGACACUGGCGGUUUCAAGAUCACAGUCACUUUAGAAUUAAUGAUAUAAUGUUUUCAUAUAGGUUUGCAAAGGAUGAAAAAUUAAUCAAAUUCAACUCAACAUUCUUAAACAAUAAUGCUUAACCAGUAAUAAUGGUCACAAAAAUUGCAUAAAAACUGAAUAAAACCAAGUAAUGUCCCCACCCCCUUGAGAACAAAUAUUUUGACUAAAGAGGAAUCACAAAAAAAAUCAGUCUUGAAUGGGAUCAGUACACAUUUUUUUUUCACAUUAGUGAGGGUUACUGUUUCUAGUACACCCACAAAAACAGACACUAUAUAUAUAUUUAACUGAUGAAUCCAGUGGGUAAGUUAAAAGGUUGCUCUGUAUAGGAUAAUGUUCAAAAGAACAAUAUUUUUUUUUAUCAAACAGACCCUUUGACCUGAAUCCAAUUUUUGUCAUUUGAAAUGGGAAAGAAAAUUGUCUGACUGAAUUUGUUAAUACUGCGCUGCAUCACAAAAGUUGAGUGGAAGAAGCCCCAUUUUUGACUUUAUUAUUAUUUUGUGUACCCCUAUGAAGCAUCCUUUUAAGCAGGUAUUCAUCUGCAAAUUUUCUAUACACGGGGAUCAGUUGAUGAGCUACCUGUGUGGUCAGAUAGGUUGAAGAAGGAUGCUCUAUAUGGCUAGGCACUUUCUCAUUGUUUGCCAAAGUGCUAUGGAAAAAACACCAGCUGUUUUUCCCUUUUAGGCAUUAGCGAUGUUAGUGUUCAUUGUCUGUAGACAUUGAAUGCCGCAAACUUGCCCAGAUUGCAUUCCUUAUAUUUUCAGUGCUAGAAGUAUUCUCUACAAUAGCUUUUUUCUGUAAAAGAUCUGUAACUUAUGUCAUUUCGCCUGCGGGAGGUGACCCAAGCCACCCAACCCUUCUUCCUUAGCCAGUUUGUGCAAAGUUGUCCCCAGUCUCUUAAGAGUGUGAUUAACAGAUGAUCUAGCUUGUCUACUUUUUGUUCAUAAUCUGGGUGUGGGUUUAGAUCACAAACUGCCUUUUAAUGCUGAGGAAAGCGUCUCUAUAUAUCUUCAACCAAAUUUAUUUACAGACCGUCCACAAAAUUUUGGCUGCCUCUGACUCGUAGCUUGCUUGUAUGAGAAUGAUUUCCCUCUCUUUUCCAAAUAGCUACUUCAGCUGCUGGUAGCCCGCAAGUUUACACGCAUGAAAUUGCUUUGACAAAACACAAAAAUCAAAGAGACCUGUUAAGAAUAUCUAUACAAUACCUGAAAAGUCAAUAUGGCUAUGCCUGGUAUGCCCAUAAUAAUGGAAAAGGUUUGCUACGCAGCAUGGCUUCUUCCCGUUUCCUGACUAAAAAGUGUCAUUUGUUGGUUCACUUCAAAGGGCUCUUUUGGGCUUUCUCUGCCUUUGACGCGUGGUGAUGAGGUACCAAAGCGUUGAUGAGAACAUUUUCCACACUUUGAAUACAAACUUUGAACAGAAGCCCAAAUUCUCACCUUACAAAUACUUUGGAAAAGCCGCUUCUCAUUGCAUUCCAGGCAAGACACAUCUGCUAGAGGUUUGUUCAGCUCACACACAUUUACAAUUAAUUAAUUAAUAAAUAAUAUAUUUACUUUAGUGUAUACAUAAGUUAUAUAAAAGUUCAGUAUUGUACUUGCAGUUCUCAUCUGUGCUUGAACCUGGUCCAGGUCUUUUUCUCUGGGUCUGCAAAUAAUUAAAAAAAUUCUUAAUUAAUGUGUCUAGGCAUGCAUAUGUGUGUGUGGGUACAUUAAAUUAACUUAACCUGAUUCUAAAGAAAGAUUGUUGCACUCGGCUUGUACUUUGAACUCACCAGAAUUAAAAAAGUUCAAUAACAAAUGAACAAUCAACAAAUAAGAAAAUUAAACAAUCGACAAUUAAACAAUUGAGCUUAGUCGCUAAUUAGUCACGUUUUCGAACGUUAGUGCUGUUCGUUAUUGUUGUGACACAAAUUCAUGCAUAGGUCGUACAGUCCAUAUGCAAAAUCUUCUAUCUUCAGUAUUUUAACCUCACGACCGGAACGUGUUCGAGUAGUUAGUGUUGGAGACCACACUGGGGUUGUGGAGCCAAGAAAGGGAUUGGAUCCUGCCGGACUUUCAGACUCCAUUUGUGGUGUGAUAAGUUGUCGCCUGCAGGACGUCGUGGGCUGAACAGCUGCAGGGUUCUGGAGGUCAGUUGUGGGUGGAGGUGCAGCAAAGUCAGAUGGAGUGGGAAUAGGGACAUGAUCAGCAGAUGGCAGCACUUUCUUCAAGUGCACUCGGUUGCGACGGUAUGUGGUGUCUCUGGAUUCAACCUUGUAUGACCUUUGAUCAAGUUGUUUAGUAAUGGUUCCACUGGUCCAUUUCUUACAACCUUGAAUGUACGGCCUCAUCAUCACAGUAUCACCUUCAUGUAGGACUGGCAGAUCUUUUGCAUCAGUGUUCCGCUGCUUUUCUCUGCUUCUUGUGAAGUUCUUCUUUGUGUUUGUCAGGCUCAGUUGUCCUUGGCUGCAGCAAAUUCUUGGUAGCAGGCAAGAGGGUCCUGGUUCUCCGGUUCAGGAAAAGACUACGCUGGACUUGUCCCGGUUUGGUUCGGUGUGUUGGGGGGGUUAAAGGGAAGUAAUUGUUUGAGGAACAAGUCCUAAAGGUUUCUGUUUUUUUCUCCUUUGUGUAUUCUUUCAUUUACAAGUUUUACAUGUCUUUAAAAAAAUACAACAAUGCAUCCAUCACAGAAGGUUGAUGCGCAAGCCUUAAAAGAAGUAGUUUCAUCCCCCACCGAUGGGGUAAGCGCCGAGAAUGUAUUAAACAGUACACAAUCCUCGAAGUAAAGAUAAAAAAAUCAAUACCUGUUAUGCCCAGACCACAAGCGAUUUCUGUUAAGGCAUGUUUUGCCUCAUUGCGUUUCUUAUUUUCUGCACGGGCUGUGUCAGACAGAAGAGGGUAAUUCUCCAACCAUUUGUCACAGGAGUCACAUCCAAUCAUUGUCAUCUGUGGAUCGUUGGGUUGUCUGCAGAUGCAGAACACUUCCUCCUACAGCUGAUCUUGCAGUUCCUUACACAGUCGUGAUGUAGAUGUUGUAACGAUUAGGCCCUGCAAAGUUUUGUAAUCACAAAAAUUAACAAAACAAAUACUGUGCAAAGAUCAGGAAUAUCAAAACAAAUUAUUUAACAUAUAUAUAUAUUAACAUAUACAUAUUAACCGCGGGCCGUAUGUUGCCCACCCCUGCCAUAGGGCAUGCUGUCACUCACUUUUUUAUAAGUGUUAGUGUACCCAUCACCAACAAACCCUGUGUAUCUGAGUUUGUACUGCUCAACUGAUCUUUUAAAAAUGUCACAUGUACCGCUUGCCUCCAUCAACCCACUAAAACCUUCAUGUGUUAGUGUGAAGUCUGCGGCAUGAGGCGCUGCCCAUGCACAAUAUUUGUCAGAGUUGGGGUCUUGUUUUUUCCAAGAAUCACAUGAUUUACAGACUUUGCUUUUUGCUUGUGUGUCAAUAACCUUUCCAUUUUUCAUGCCAAUAGUUGUCACAACACCUACCUGGGAUGAGAAGCCUACAGUCAUCCACGUCCCAUCACUUAAAACAUGAAUGUCUCUGUUUUCGUUACCUUCUACUUCUUCUGCCUGUUCAUACUCUUGUGCUACAGCUGCUUGCAUGCUGAUAUUUUGUACAGUGGUACAUGCUUUAUUAUAAGUUGUCUUAUGAUAGAACCGAUGGCCACUCUGCUAGCACAUUAUGAUAUAGGUCGUCAUGUGCUAGCAAAUGGAUCAGGGCAUCUAGUCGCAUCUCGAAGUAGUAUUCUACACCAAUGUGUAAAAGUACUUUCACCUGUAAAUUAAACUCAUUUUCUCAAACAAUUGAGUGCUCUAAUACUGUACAUCUCAUGCCCCAAGACAGUAGAAAGAUUAACUGCUGUGCUCAUACUUGCUAUAGCAGUUUCUUAGCUUAUCCUGCAUCUACUUGUAAAGGAAAAGGCAGUUUUUUCCCAGCAUAUUCUGUGCUGACUUCAUGGGUUACAAAAACAAGAACAAUGCCUGUCAGGCUGGCUGCAUUUGCCCUGUAGCAUGACACUUUUAAUAAAAAUAUAAAAGUCCUUUAUCUGAUUGCAAGGAUUUUAUAGAUUUUCCCAGGUAUACAAAUAUUGACACUCUCUUACCAUAUGCUUCAUUGAAGAUUUUCUGCACACAAUGGCGCAGAUACUUCAAAUCUGAUACAACCGAUGGCCUCUCUGCUAGCACAUUCCUAUAAAGGUCAUCAUGUGCUAGCAAAUGGCUCUGGCCAUCUAGUUGCAUCUCGAAGUAAUAUUCUACACCAAUGUGUAGAAGUACUUUCCCUGCAAAUUAAAUUAUUCCAUUGUACUUUCACUAUCAGAUUGCAAAUAAACGUACAGUGCACCUCUAUACAUCUAAUACUUAUCAGUUUAUAAUUAAAGGGGAAGAGAAAUUUUAUACAUGUUAUGCCAGUGUCAAAGGGAUGUGGUGAACACUUACCACCUUCUUCAGCUGCUCCAUUAGCUGCUUCAAAUACUUCUUUUUUUCCUCAAGAGUAAUUGGAAGAGCUGGGGUUGCAGCCUCCCUUGCCAGUUUCUGUUUUUCAAGAACCGACAGAGCGGCAUAUUCCGCCCUGCCUCUCUUGAGAAACAUUGCAUUACCUGUAAAGAAAUAAAAAUAGUCAUUUGAAAAAACUUACACAUCAAUCAUCCAAGCCAUUAGACUAUUUUGAUUUUGGGAUGGAUGGUGGCUCAGGGAAAUCGCUUGGUUUUUAACAAUCCGUGUAGGUUAAAGGUCACAGUGGUAUUCUUGUGCUCUUGCUAAAAAAAUGGGAUGCUUACUUUCACCCUCCUUCCUUUGCAGGUGCUUCUGAAACAACGUUAAUGCCGUGCUUCUUUUGAAGCCCCAAACAGCUUUCUGAAACCAAGUUUUAAAAGAAAUAUGUUAAUAUUCCGUCACUUUUCACAUUAUCACACAAGUCAGAAGUAAAAUAUUUGCCCGUAAGAGUAAGGAGUUUCAUGCUUAAAGUGAAACCAAUUUAUAUUUACUUACAUUUCCUAUUUUCGCAUCCAUUUUACGCAGGCAAAUUCUCGCGCCAAAAGAGUCUACUAAGAGUUACAGUCUUUGGUAUAGAGCAGAUCAAAAAGUUAAAUUGUGUGAUUGAAACAUAAUCCGAUGAAGCCUAAACUGUGUAUGCUAUUGAAUUGCUAAUGAUGAAAUAAAUGCAUUUUGCCUUUUUUGAAAGAGAUUUUAUUAAAAUAUAUUCUCGCAAAUUCCUUUUUUUUAAUACUUUAUAUAUAUAAAUUUAUAUAUAUACUUACACGCAUCCAUGGGCAGUUUGAAAGAUAACGUAAACAAAAUUAAUUGGCGAUGUCUUUGCCAAAAGCGUCUACUAAGAGUUACAGUCCUUGGUACAAAGCAGUUCAAAAAGUUAAAUUCAUCACAAUGAUGAAGCAAAUAAUGGCACUAACGAAGCCAAAAAAAGUUGGUAGAUGUAUUUCCUCGCAACCUUUCUGUUUCUUUUUGAGACACUACAAGAUCAUCAGCCAUCCAUUCAUUCCAUUACUAGUACCAUCAUUAUCACAGCAAACAAAGCAUGCUAAGGAAAUAGUACACAAAAUAGUUAACAAUAUGCAUCAUCGAACAAAAAUAUAAUAAAACAACAGAAACAGCAACCUUUGUAUUAACCACUAUACAUCAUAGAAACAACAUAACAAAAAACAAUACCCGAUAAGAGCCUAAUUUUGAAUGCAUUUCAAAAUGUAAAAACAAAUGUUGAGGUUACAAUUAUGCAGGAGGAGGGAGUAAGGAAAAAGAGAUACGUCCAACAAUCUUACCCAGUCAAAAAUCUCGAUAGAUAUUGCCAAAACCUUUUUCAUAUGCUGUCUAGUCCCUGUAGAACUCAGCUGUGCCAUUGCGACGUCUGGAAAACCUGCUCAUCACACAUGCUCACAGUUUGCUACCACGGUCAAAUGCUAUGAACAUCUAAUUCUGUUGACAAACUAGCUGCAGAUGUUAAGUAAAUUGCAGAUCAGGACAAAAAGCUCAGUCAGCAGCCUGAUAAAUGUAGUUUGCUCCAUGUUCCAUGUAGAGGUCCGAAGCGGUCCAGUGGCGCAACGGUUAGCGCCUGUCACCAAUACAGUGAAGGUUGGCUGCCCAGAGUUCAUUUCUCGUCUCAGGCAGGCUGUUGUUUCUCUGCACGUGGCAUCUGUUUACAGGGCUGGCUGCUUGCCGUAAUAUGGCCUUAGUUGCUGGCAUGGCAUAAAACACCAAUCCCCCCCAUGUAGAGGUCCAUAUUAUGCAGUUCAAGUGCUUCGACCGGAGAAGUUGCCCACUCCCUGGGUUAAAGGAUGCGAAUGCAAACAAACAACACAUGCACACCAACACACUAAAUGUAGGCCUGUCUAGAAACACCCUCAGCCCACGGAGUCUACCAGCAAGAUAAACAAACUGUUGGAAACCGGUGGACAAGCAUACUCUCCUGCUUCGUGAUGAAAAUUUCGAAAGAUAUCAAAGAAAAAUUAUUCGUGGAUACGAUGAGCUGUAAGUAUGUGACCUUGGGUGUAAGUGGUGUCGCACUUUUGCGAGCGGUAUACAGUGUGCAGGAGAGAUGCUACCUGAGUCGAACACGACCACAUGUACCCAAUCAUACUAACCUUUAUGUAAUAAAAAAAAAUAUAGUAAAACCCUUACAAAAAUAUAUAGUAAAAAUUUAAAAGGUUUAUUUAAUCUCAUACAGGAUCUGUAAAAUCAUUAACAGAUUGCACUGAAGCAUAAAAAUUUACUUACCUGGCACUUUUUUGUCAUGAUUCUGAAAAGUCGAUAUGGCUAUGCCUGAUAUGCCCAUAAUAUUGGAUAAGGUUUGCAACACAGCAUGGCUUCCUCCCGUUUUCUGACUAAAAAGUGUCAUUUGUUGGUUCACUUCAAAGGGCUCUUUUGUGCUUUCUCUGCCUUUGACGCGUGAUGAGUUACCAAAGUGUUGAUGAGAACAUUUUCCACACUUUGAAAAGAAGCCCAAAUUCUCACCUUACAAAUACUUUGGGAAUGCCGCUUCUCAUUGCAUUCCAGGCAAGAUACAUCUGCUAGAGGUUUGUUCAGCUCACACACAUUUACAAUUAUCCGCAUUAAUUAGAAAACAUAGCUGAUUUUGCGAGCAGAAUUGAAAGGUUCAAUUAUCACUGAGCUCUUUAUUGGGAUGUUAAGAAACGAUGAAAUUAUUGAAGAAUACUGUAAAAAUACUGUAAAAUGUUGAAUAUGAAGAAUACAAAGGGUACUGUAAAAUACAGACGGAAACUGUAAAAUUGUUGCCCUGAAAUCAGAACAAGAAUUCACUAAUUAAAUUCUGAAAUCAUUACAUAAAUCCCUAACCCCGACACAUGGGUCUCAAGUAAGACUCGUGCGGUCUCACACGUUUACCUUCCUGCCCCCCUUUGCACAUGUAACAACGCACAUACAUUAUAUCCCGCAUGGGCAUUUUCCCAAACAUAUACAAAAUCUUACUACACAAAAUCUCCUAGAGCAAAUUCCAUCACAUACAUAAACAUCCUUUCUCCCUCAUACAAGAUUUCUAAGGGGUCCCAGGCUAACUCUAAGGGGUACCUUUACAAUGUCAAAAAAUAUCAACAAAAUGGAGAGUCCACUCAUGUCUUGUUAGUGCGUUUCUUUGAAAAUUGGUACAGCCAGUGACGAAAGCAUUUUUGUGCCAAGUCUUUAGACACGCGAAACGCUUCAUGACUCGUGACUACUUAUCAAACUUGUGCCAUCAUUGCCACUUUAAGAGUAUUCAUGCAUUACAAGGCAUCUGCUUUCCGUUUUAGUUUUACUUCUAGAUUGACAAUUGGUUUAACGGAUAUUAAAAGUAUAAAUAGCAUGCAUUUGUCACGACAUUGCCGGUGCCUCUUGUUUUUCGCUCUCUCCAACUCACCAGCGGGUCGGACAAUUGCGCGUUCUUUCGUUCCAAUUGAAGAAUGAUUUGCCUGUACGAGUCUGUCUGUUUACUGAUCAAAAUUACCAACCAAAAAAAAUAGAUCCUAACUAUAAAAGCAAAACGGUCUUUAACACCACAGUUUUUCCUUCAAUCUCCACAUCUACAAAGUACAUCGAACACCUCACACACUAUAAACUCACUGUCUUGGCAGUCGUUUCUCCUUUCACAUUAGUACAUUCGAUCUCUGAUUAGCAAAUCGCAUUGUCUUUUCAAAUGCGAUCACGUCUCCCUUUCCGCUCUCUUUCUUCUUCUUCCACUCGCUAACGUUCUUCCUCUUCUAUCUACUCUCUAACGUCCUCUUCUUCUCUCUAUUCUCCAGCGUCCUUCUUCUUCUAAAUGCCCUCUAACGUCCUUCUGCUUCCAUAUUUCUUCUCAACGUCCCUCUCCCUUACCUCACUAUUUCUUUUUGACGUCACUAUACGUCAUUUGUCACGUUCUAUUUAGAGAACGUCCAUCAUUCGCACACUUUCAUCUACACAUGCGCCCAGUCCUAGCACUCUGACUAGAUCCAUGACAUUAUUUUAAUGUAAAAGUUAAUUGAUUAAUAAAACGAUGAUAAAUGUUAAAAAAGCGAAAUCAAGUUAAGAGCUCAAGACGUCGCACAACGAAGAGCGGCUAUCUUGAUCUUGAUCCAAAUAAAUUUUUAUGCAGUUCUAUACAUCGCAUCGAUUGAACGAUGAACAGGGCAUGGUCAUUUGCCCCAUCAUACUGACCCUUGAGGGACAAGGUGAGCCUGAGAGGGACAGUGUACCGGCAUCUUUUUCUCCAUUGGCCAGUGUCAGGCGACAGAAGAAAAUUUGCAAGUUUUGCAAAAAAAAAUAAGAAAACCAUUUACGAACAUCAUCCAUUCUUGCAUCGCUCAUCACUUUAGCAUUGACUCAUUAAGUGUCAUGCAGCGGUCUGGUGGCGCAACGGUUAGCACUGUUAGCGCCUGUCACAAAUACAGUGAAGGUUGGCUGCCCUGAGUUCAUUUCUCGUCUCGGGCACGCUGAUCUUUCUCUGCACGUGGCAUCUGUUUACAGGGCUGGCUGCUUGCCGUAAUAUAGCCUUAGCUGCUGACACGGCGUAAAACACCAAUUCCCCCCCCCCCCCUCAUUAAGUGUCAUGCAGCUUUUGUUUUACUACCAUCUAAAUAAAAUUUUAAAAUGUCAGCAGUGGAACCCUGGACAUGCUGACCAGCCAAGUGCUGAUCUACCAGCGCCAUUUAUCCCUUCGAUCUUUUUCUCCAUUGUCCACUGUCAGCAGUCGGAAGAAUAUUUGCAAGUUAUGCAAAACAAAAUAAGAAAACGUUUGAGUCCUAUACAUUGCAUCGAUUGAACAAGGAACAGGGUAUGGUCAUUUGACCCGUGUUGAGAACAUUAACGUGUCCUCUCUGCUUUGGCAGAGAGGCCCACACCAUCAAAUACUGUCCCUUGAGGCAUUAAAGACUUGUGGGAAAUGACUGGGGGUUGGUGGGUUUGAGUUCAAUCUUUUUCAGUUUUGUGGGCGUUUCGUAACUUGAAGCAGUUGGUUUUAUAUCAUUUCUUGGAAAAGGAUUUUGAGAGAAGUCUGUCAUGUUAAAGUGUAACUUUUCAUUGUAUUAGAAGAUUGCUGUGAUAGUCAUUGAUUUGAUCCUGACAAAAUAGUAAAAACCUUUUUUGUGCGCCGUUUUCCCGAGGCAUUGAUAGUUUUACACCACUUAACUUUAAAAGAGGGUAUUGUUACCUACAUACGACCCAUUGACAAAAACUAGUUUGUCACCAGUAAUACUACAAACUUAUCCAUACAAUUCAUUAAAGAGGUUUUGAAUCUCCUGCCGCAGGAAUUGCCCAUUCCUCCUUCUCCCCUUUUUGUUGGCCUUGGCCCUGUUGUAAUUUUAUAAUAAAAAGUCCAGCCCAGCUGCUUUAUGAAGUCACUCUGGAAACUUGUAUAAGAGCUGCCAUUUAAAUUUGUUUUUGAAACAUUUAUCUGGGCUCAAUCCUUUUUUAGGAUAAACCCUUGGCUUUUCUUUUUAUAGUUUUCUUUCUCUCCAGGUCCCAUGCUUCGCCAUUCCUUAUGCUAAAGUUUGCAUCCUAGACUUAGUACUCAUGCGUCUUGACUAUAUUUCAACCAUUUCUGAUUCAGGAGUUUGGGUGAAGCGAAAUUGUGCAAUUUUUCAGUAUGAUGAUCUGUUUAAAGUACAUCCUUAAUAUAUUUUCUACAUUUGCUCUGAUUCUCAUUCUCAAAUAAUAGUGAGAUGAGACAUGUUCGUCAGAGUUAAAAGGUUUCAGAUAAAACAGCUCAUGACAUGACUGUAACACUUGGUGAUCACAUUGCAUUGUGUUUCUUAAAAGAUGUAGUCCAUUCCCUUAUUUCCUGAAACUUGCAUAUACUUUUUUUCAGGAAUUUUUUUCAAGACACUAAUUGUUAUUUUACAUUUGAAAGUUGAUUCUGAUUGUAAAUAUCGUUACGAGCAAAACACAACAUCAACUAUAGAAUUAUAUGAACUAUGCAUUCAAAAUAGUUUAUGCAUUACCAAUCCAGACUUGGCUGUCAUGAAAGUAUGCACACUACUUUUCUUUCUACCAUGUCUUCUGUUAACACGCACCUAUCCGUUAUCCUUUAAAUUUUCCUGCAAUCUCAAUUUGUCAUUUUCUCAAAUCCACGUACAUGGCUCAAGCAUCUACACGUGCACCGUAGUAAGCAUCAAACCAUUUUUCAUCAGCAUGUGUCUGUCGAAUUUAUGCCGUAUAAUAAUGUAAGCAACACUUUCUUACGUUGAAUGUGAGAAAACAGGUGCAUCUACUUGUAACAGGGUAAGAUUCGGGCUUUUCCCCAAUCUCUCCUCAACAAUACAAAAGACAACGCUCUCGUGGGUUCUAGAUUAUAUUUCUGAUGCCAGUCGAUGCUGCUGGCUCUGGCGAAUCUCGAUCCAACACACUUUCUGACCUCGCACCAACUGCACCACACACCUCUGCUCUGUCUCCUUAUAUGUGUAACCAAGUGGUGAGGGGAGUUGAACAAUGACCACAACAGUCCAGCACUCAGAAAGGUAGGAACCUGUCAGCAGUUGCACAACUCUUUAAUGCAGGCUAGAUCCACAGUCACGGCUGCGUCACUUGUCUUGCGCUUUCACUUCAAAAUUUCUAAAGGCCUCCAACACUCACUUCUCUUCUUCUGUCAGUUCCAUCGUCUCUGGCGGCACUAAGCUGACUUGAUAAGUUAUCAGUUUCGCCCAGUACCCCACAUAGGGCGCCAAAAAUGUGAGAUAUAUGGUAGUGCAGCACAACACAAUUCAUUUCACAGACAUGUUUUUUUGGCACAGUUCAUUUCAAAUACAUAAAUAUAUUUGAUAGCACAUUUAAUGUCACAGAUCUUUUCAUUGUACACCAACAGUUCUUCACACACAUGCACGCACACACAUACGAACGCACACACACACAAUGUAAAAUAAAGAAUAACGAUGAGAUUAAAUGUCUCCACGGCACGCACCUCCGCCAGCUCUGCAAUUAAGUAUGGAUUCAUGAUCGACAUGAAGUUUGUAUGUUAAAAGUUAUAAAUACCCAUUUUCUUACUCUUCUUUGUCUAAUAAUGAUCCUGUGAUCUAAAACUGAUGAAUGUAUUUCAGUCUUUCCCCACCAAGCUAUGAGCUGGCACAUCCAGUCUUCCUUUCAUCCUUUAUCUCCUUUCCCCAUCUCUCUCUCUUACGGACUAGGUGUUUAGUACUUUGAAGUAAAAAACUGUUAAUCAGUGCAAGUAGAGCUCAGCCUGUAUUGUCUUUGGACAAACAAAACAGCGAGAGAGAAAAACUCGAUCAACUACUGGUUCGGUCUGUGCACCUGUUGGUCUCCUGCAGGUCAAUCUUCGUCUUGAGCGACGAGGUGGACAUGGCAUCUGAGGCGGAGCUCUGGAGACCUGAGGAGGUCAAUGAGGUACCUGGCGGCGUCCUGCUCAUUAGCCCGUACCUGCACACACCGAUGAAAUGGCAUGUCAUGCACAUGUCCGGAGCACGUGCUACUGUGACUUCCGGCCAUCUCUCGGCACGAGAAGCACACACCUUUCCUCCCUCAGUGUUGUAAAAGUAGCCGUCUGCUGCAAGCCUGUAGAAAAACAGCAUUCAUAAAAAUGGUUAACCAAAGUUAAAUAAAUACUAAUUGAUGCUUCAGAAAUAACAUUGAAGUUUUCAAUGUGUGUACAUGCGCUAUCGCAUGCAAAACCCUGAGACCGACUCACUGAACCCCUAUUGUUCUAUUGAACCCUGGUUAAGAACCACUGCUCUAGAAACUGUCUCCUCCUGCACUAAAGCAAACAAACAUACAUAUUUGCCGACUUUUUUUUUUUUUUUUUUUUUUUCAUGUGAUUCAGCCUUCAGAAGAAUAUUUGCAAGUUUUGCAAAAAAAGGAAGAAAACGUUUGAGUUCUAUACAUCGCAUCGCUUGCACAAUGAACAGGGCAUGGUCAUUUGCCCCAUGUUGAGAACAUUCACGUGUCCUCUCUGCUUUGCCACAGCAAAGAGAGGGCCCACACCAUGAAAUACUGUCCUUUGAAGGACAAGGUGAUCCUCCUUGAGGCAAGGAGGGCGUUGAUUGAAACAAAAUUUUCAGAACAUCUUUGGUGCGUGCAUUCUUGAAAGUGUUUUAAUCAUGGAAUCGUUAAACAGUACACAAUCCUCAAAGUAAAGAUAAGAAAAAAAAUCAAAUACAGCAAGCAAUUUCAGUUAAGGCAUGUUUUGCCUCAUUGCGGUUCUUAUUUUCUGCAUGGGCUGUGUCAAACAGACAGGAAAUUUCUCCAACCAUUUGUCACAAGCAACCAUUACAAUCUGUGGAUCGUUUGUUGUCUGCAGAUUCAGAGCACUUCCUCCUACAUUUUCCCUUGCAGUUCCUUACCAAUGAUCUUUCUAGGGCCAAGGUUGCACACGAAAUGAUUGAUAAAUUCCAGAAGCCAGACAAUUUGAAAGGAGAGACAACAUAAACUCAUCGUAAUAUUAUGCUCCUCUGGCACAUGACAAGUGCAAACAGCACACGUUACAGAUCCCUGCUGUUUCUGUACAUUAACAAAUUUAAUUGAAAUGUACUGCGCAUCUGUAAACAAAAGCCAGCCUAACUGCUUUAGAAAUUUUUCCUUACACUCCCCUCUCACUCUGUAAAAGAAAGAAUCCAUCCUGGUUGAGGGCAAUGAAUGGUACUCACCGUAACCCAGUGUACCUACAUGUAAAAUAAGCACAAAUUAUCCUUUUCGCGUUCCCACACGCUGGCAUUCUUGUGAUUGAAAGACAGCCAGGUCCUGUAGGCCAAGUUUUGCAGGAAACUGCUCCUUUAACCACAUUGUGACCAAAUUUCAUGUUUAUAAAUUAAUUAGUUGGCCCAUGUCAUUCAGAACAAAUUGGGUACCCAGUUUUGGGUGAUUCAUCCGCCUUAAUAAAAAAAAUAGUGUACUUACUAUAAUAACAAAGUGCAGCGUAUCUCGGCUUUUUGAGUGUAGAAGACAGCGUGCGACAGGCAGGAGAGUGCAGUGUGAAAUUAAGUGACUAUCGCUAUCUCUAAGGUCCAACUGUCCAAGCUUUCUUUGGUCCAAUGACUCCGAUGGAAAGGGAUGGGAAAAUUAAGUGUCCUGGUCAAACACACAGCGACUUUACCACUGACUGGUCUAUCUCAUAAAAAUGUCAGUCUACACCUCCAAUUGCUCCAAACCCCGACCAUUUAAUUCCCAGUCCAUUCCCUGGAGUCUUCCAGAAACUAUCAUGGUGGGCAUGGGUGGAAGUUGCUGUCAUCUUAGUCACUGGCCUUUAAACUAAAACAGGGCCAACAUAAUUUGCCUCUACCUUGAUUGUGGGGUUCAAGACAUGGAGAAAUUCAAUGAAAACGUGGACAAACUAACACUUAUGUCAUAACUCAUAACUAAGUCUUGUGCCUACUUACUUUUGGACAGCUUGUCAAUGUUUUUGUUACAAUAGGUCAUGCUGUCACUCACUUUUUUAUAAGUGUUAGUGUCCCCACCACCAACAAACUAGGAAUUGUUUUGUGUUGUGUUUCUCAUUUUGAUUUUUAAAUUAUAUUAUAUUUUUAGCGUUUUAAAUUGUCUGUGUUUUGAUUUUAUUAAUUGUCUCGUCUGAAAGGCACUGUAGAGUGCAAGUGACACGGGCCGGAUCUGGCCUGCGAGGCCGUAUGUUGCCUACCCCUGCCAUAGGGCAUGCUGUCACUCACUUUUUAUAAGUGUUAGUGUACCCAUCACCAACAAACCCUGUGUAUCUGAGUUUGUACUGCUCAACUGAUCUUUUAAAAAUGUCACAUGUACCGCUUGCCUCCAUCAACCCACUAAAACCUUCAUGUGUUAGUGUGAAGUAUGCGGCAUGAGGCGCUGCCCAUGCACAGUAUUUGUCAGAGUUGGGGUCUUGUUUUUUCCAAUAAUCACAUGAUUUACAGACUUUGCUUUUUGCUUGUGUAUCAAUAACCUUUCCAUUUUUCAUGCCAAUAGUUGUCACAACACCUACCUGGGAUGAGAAGCCUACAGUCAUCCACGUCCCAUCACUUGAAACAUGAAUGUCUCUGUUUUCAUCACCUUCUACUUCUUCUGCCUGUUCAUACUCUUGUGCUGCUGCUGCUUGCAUGCUGAUCGUAUAGUGGUACAUGCUUUAUGAAUAGUUUUCUGUAUAGCUGUGUAGCUACUCUUACUAAAUGGCUUUGGUAAAUCCAUUACCCUACAAAAAAUCUCUAACUCUCUCUUGUCUGCUCCUAUGCAUCGCAUAGCAAAAGCAGCCUGCCUGAUGCUUUGCCUACAGACGUCUGAGGUGAGGAUGAGAAAGCAGGCUGCAUAUUACAGUUUCUAUUGCUACAAUAAAAUACAAAUGUACUUGCCAGUCCCUUUCUUUGCAUUUCAAACAACCUGACAGUACGGGGACAGUAACGGCACACCAAGUUCUAUGAAACAGUUUCACUUAGGAUUGCUACAUCUAUUAUUCUAUUUCCUUUUGGAUUUUCAAAAACAAUAUCCUGAGUUGUGCUAUCUUUUUCACUUUCAGAAGUGUCAUUUUCACAAUCUGCUUCUUCAUAUUCCCCCUCUGAACUACAGUCAAACACCAACUCGUACAGAUCUUGUAAUUUCUGUUCUGAUCUAGUGGACAUGUCCACCUGUUCACAAUAACUUUCUGAACUGACAGUUAAAUUGCCUAUAUAACAAAUGUUGCUGAAAGCGCUUCGUAUGCCUUUUCCCACUGUUGCUUUUUCUUUUGAGUACUGGUUACCACAAAAUUUGCGUUUCUUGGGCUUUGAAAGUCUGUACUUACGAUCAUUAGCCAUAGUUACAGUGUCACACAACUGUAGCCACAAUAAUCGGUCCAAAGUUUAAUUAAAAUGUCACUAAAAGCAAUCACAAAGCCAUGCUUUCAACUUGGCGGAGGUGCACGGAAGUAGGGAGUAAUUAUUAUUUAGAAGUUAUAUUGGGAGCGGUUAUUAUUUGUGUGUCAUGUUGCAGGUGACUGAAUGUUAUUUUCCACCAUUUUGGAGCAUUUUGACAUGCCACCCCUACCCUGUGUAGAUGCAAUUAUCUAAAAAAACUACAUAGCUCUGGCAAAAGUUUAACUCACCCUCUGAAAGAGAAAAGAUUUAUGAAUAAAAUGACACAUCUUAAGUUACUGUCAUCGAAAAAAAAAUUUUUUCAACCAUUCUGGGUGAUCCUGCCACCUUAAACGCUACUCCCAAGCAUGCAAAGUAAACAUGGCAGUCAUGUUUUACAGGGUAAAUAAAAUCAGAAGAAACAUGAGGGACCUACAUCAUCUUGUGUGCUGAUUCUCAUUUCAUUCUUAUCCAAUGCUAUUUUUUAAAAAAACGAGAAAGUCAUUUCAAAAUUAUAAAACAUUAGAUCUGAAACAUUUAACAAUUUUUUGCCCUCCCUCCAAGGUCAUUUUGAAUUAAAUUAAUUAAUAAUAUAUUUACUUGAGUGUAUUUAUAAGUUACAAAAAAGUUCUGUAAUGUACUUGCAGUUCUUAUCUUGGCUUGUUCCCGGCACUGGGCUUCUUGUUUGGUUGUUGCUACUUGCAUUAAUGGUUAAUCAGGGUAAUAAUGAACCAAAUGUACCAAAAAGGGGGGAAAGAGAAAAUUCAAAUUCAAAACUAAGCACAAAAAAAAAAUUGUUAAAAGAACACAGAUAAGCACGAAAAAACUACAAAAAAAAAAAAUUAUUCGUGGAUUCUAUGAGCUGUAUUUGAACUUGGGUAUAAGUGGUGUCGCACUUUUAUGAGCAAUAAACAGUGUGCAGGAGAGAGUCGUGCACACUGACCACCUAAGUCAAACACACUGACUCAUGGACCAACCAGCCGCCAUCACCAGAUUCCAUGUCGCACCAUACUCUCAGAGGUUUGUUAGCCAAAGGCCAUUCUCACUAAAACAGGCCUUCGGUAGCAACUCGCCUUACAAAUCCUAGGAUGUAUCAUAUAUGACAAUAUUGCAGACAUAAGGGACUUUUUAUGUACUACUUCUUAACUUACACUUAAACGCAUUGGAUGUAAUAAACGUGCGAAUUUGCCUGAUCCCUUCAGGUUUGUUUUAACAAAGUAGUGAAUCUUGUUUCACAUAAUCAGCAAAGAAAAUAUGAAAGAAAAAAUAUGUUAUUAAAAAUAAAUGCUUUAUUUUUAUUGUACCAAGAACAUUUUCAGAAGGCAUACAAAAGCAGCUAGUGACCUAAGACCUAAACAGGCACCUCCCUUAGGCAUAUAUGAGUCUCCAUGAUUCAAAGUUGUUCUCUAAUAAAAUCCCAAUUAUUUUUUAUUAUAACUAUAACAAAAGUCUGCCAGUGCUGGUAGCUAAAUGGUGUAGACUCCACUCUUGGAACCUGUUCCCUGCCAGCCUUUACAUGAGCCUGUUUUUACACAAUCAUUCCGCUCGUAAGAAAUUGUUAUAAAGGGCGCAGUAAUGUAAGAAACAAACUGACUAUACAUCGUUUAGGGACAAGCUGAGUACUACUAGAAUUCUACUACUUCUCACUUGAAACAAGGCUUGAUUGAAGUUGAAGCCUAUAUGACACAAAAAUCUUCCUAACAAACAAUCACCGUUUAUGUCUGGACAAUCCAUCUUGCUUUGACACAGUAUUGGUCUGACUGUGUUUACACAAACAAAUCACUGCGCUCGCAAGGAAUUGUUAUAAAGGGCGCAGUGGAACUACUUACAAUGAUGUAAACAAUCGGUACAGUGAUAUUCAUGACAGCUUCAAUAGCUAAUCAUACAACAGUCAAGGGCAUACUGUUUAUAUGUGCAUGAAGCACACAGUUUAGACUGCUCUGACACAAGAUGGUCCUGCUUGCUGAUUGCUGUUAUCACUAGCCACCCCCCAAUGCUAGCUCUGUGUCUAAGAGUAUCUGACUGCCAUGUGUACAUAUUCUGAUUCCUCCUCAUCGAUUUCUUCCUCCUUGAUGCAUGCUGCUGUCACGUGCUUGUAUGAAAAAAUAUUUUUAUAAGUUAUAUUAUCUUCAUCUUUCUCUGAAUACAACAUUUUCCUCGGAGUCUGUAGAUUGAGCGUUCUCAUUGUCCCAUUCUUCCACUUCCACUUCCACCUCCAUUUCCUCUUCAGAAUCUGCCAUGUACAUGUCGACCACUUCUCGAGUCGUGUAUCGUCUCGCUGUUUUUCCAGUUGAAAAGAACGGGUUCUCUGGGAAAUUGAUGAUAGUUCAGUCAAGAACAGAGUAGCCUCCUUUACAAGGGAAGUAACCCUAACCUUUACAGACCCUUGCUUGUCAGUCCACUGUGGCAUCCAGUCACAGUUCUGACACCAUCAGUAGUCACUCCCACUAAUUUUUCUCACGGAAGCAAGACCCUCUAUUAUGCCUGAAACUUCUUUGAACAGGUCUUCGCCAGUGGUGUUCCCAUGCAUGCCUCUCAUGGCCGCUAACUCUUUUGUAAUUUCAAAAUUGCUGUUUGUACCACGAAUAAAUACCAAGAGUUGAGCGGUGUCAGAUGAGUCGGUGGACUUGUCAGCGGCAGUAGAAAACAUUGCAAAACAUGCUGCUUUGUCCCUUAGUUUCCAACUCUAUUGCAACAAUCCAACUAAUUAACUAAUCUAUGUUCUACUUAUUGGUUCUUUAUUGAUAAAUUCUUUUAGUGGCAUCUUAUUAGCUUAGGCUACAGGGUUAGGGCUACAUAUCAGUAACUCUUCGUUAGAUAGGGAUAUUUUUGAAUAAUAUGUGUUUGGAAGAGUUGGUUAUAUUAAAGAAUCUCAUUAUUUGGGCAUCUAAAUAGGAAAUGCUCUUCAUCUUCUACGGCAUACGGUAGUUUUUCCACAAGCUGGGCAACCUAAAUGUAAUUCCAUAGAAGCUUCAAACCAUAUUUUAUUCGCAUUAAGUCAAAAGGUUCUUGUUAGGUCUUCCUAGGGCACGCCUGUUCCACCUAUUGUUUAUAAGUGAAAACAAUUUUUCUGACUGUAAAUUAUCUUUAAAUGAUAAGAACCAUUCAUAUUUUGUAUCUUUCUCCAUGUUUGUGUGUCUGUUUUGCUUAAAGGAGCAUAUUAUACAUUCUUUAGAUUCUCAAAGGAACAUGUUUCAUCCCCGCCCCCUGGUUGACCCAUACUAUCCCAAACCCACUUUCUGAAAGCACUUUAUGUUAGAUAUCCAGUUAAGCUUUCCAGACUCAUGCUGCUGGUGAAUCAUUUCAUAAGCUUGUUUACAAAGUCUUGUUAUGGGUAGCUUGAGGAUGUGUAGCCAGAAUUUUAUGCAUUUUGUGUAGUUAUCUAUGUACAGGGUGUAUCUACCAGCUUCAUAUAAAUCAGAUUGGAAGAGUGCAGGGGAACAUCUAAAAAUGCUUAAUUGCAAAUGUAUGUAUUUUUUUCUAUAGGGUUAUUUAUAGAUAAGCCCCAAAUUUCUGCCGCAUUUGUCAAAACUGGUUUGACCUGGGAGUCAAAGAGCUUCCAAAAGAUGGAUAAAUUAUUUGAGUUCAGUUUUCUAAGUGCCCUAAGAAUUUCUAUCAGCCCUUUUUUUUCCUUUCAUACACAACUCAUUGCAUGCUGUUCAUCCUAGUAGAAAAUUAUACUCCCAGAUAUUUGUAGGUAUUUGUUACUUUAGCUUCUAAAUUGUGUUUAAGAAGUGGAGAUGUUAUGUUCAUAUUAAGUUUACUAAUUUCUUCUUAAUGGCCUUAAGAGAACCAUCGAAAGAUACAAAAUCACUUUUUUUAAUAUUUGUGUAAAAAGCUUAACGUGACAAUUGUUAAGAUGUACAACACUGUACUUUCUGCAAAGUUGCUGUCAGAGUUUUAUGCAUUCUUGUAUAUUAUUAGUGGACCAAAUCCUAAGAAGCUAACAAUGGUUACAUUUCAUUUUUAUAUCAUUAUAUGUACAUACUAUUGCUAGUAUGAGCACUUUUGAAAUACUCCUAGGAGUCAAUAAAGUUGUAUUGUAUCUGUAGUGGCUAUUUUUAGUUUGUUACUGCGCAUAUGAACUCUUUUGUGAAAUAAAAUACUUAAGUAGAA